UACGUAGGGGGGCAAGCGUUAUCCGGAUUUAUUGGGCGUAAAGAGCUCGUAGGCGGCCGUUCGCGUCGGAUGUGAAAGCUCAGGGCUCAACCCUGAGACGCCAUUCGAUACGGGACGGCUAGAGGUAGGUAGGGGAAAGUGGAAUUCCUGGUGUAGCGGUGAAAUGCGCAGAUAUCAGGAGGAACACCGGUGGCGAAGGCGGCUUUCUGGGCCUUACCUGACGCUGAGGAGCGAAAGCUGGGGGAGCGAACAGG
rnacentral:rRNA from 1 species